AGAGUUUGAUCCUGGCUCAGGACGAACGCUGGCGGCGUGCUUAACACAUGCAAGUCGAGCGGAGUGCAGUAAUGCACUUAGCGGCGGACGGGUGAGUAACACGUGGGUAAUCUGCCCUCAAGUGGGGAAUAACACAAAGAAAUUUGUGCUAAUACCGCAUAAAGUAUGCUAAUCGCAUGAUAGGCAUAAAAAAGAUUUAUUGCUUGAGGAUGAGCCCGCGGCCCAUUAGCUAGUUGGUGAGGUAAAGGCCCACCAAGGCCACGAUGGGUAGCCGACCUGAGAGGGUGAUCGGCCACAUUGGAACUGAGACACGGUCCAGACUCCUACGGGAGGCAGCAGUGGGGAAUAUUGCACAAUGGGCGAAAGCCUGAUGCAGCAACGCCGCGUGAGUGAUGAAGGCCUUCGGGUUGUAAAGCUCUGUCUUUUGGGACGAUAAUGACGGUACCAAAGGAGGAAGCCACGGCUAACUACGUGCCAGCAGCCGCGGUAAUACGUAGGUGGCGAGCGUUGUCCGGAAUUACUGGGCGUAAAGAAUGCGUAGGCGGCUUUUUAAGUGGGAUGUGAAAUCCCUGGGCUCAACCCAGGAACUGCAUUCCAAACUGGAAGGCUAGAGUGUGGGAGAGGAAAAUGGUAUUCCCAGUGUAGCGGUGAAAUGCGUAGAGAUUAGGAAGAACACCAGUGGCGAAGGCGAUUCUCUGGACCGUAACUGACGCUGAGGCAUGAAAGCGUGGGUAGCAAACAGGAUUAGAUACCCUGGUAGUCCACGCCGUAAACGAUGAGUACUAGGUGUAGGAGGUAUC
rnacentral:rRNA from 1 species